CCCAUGCGUACUCUUACGAGUGGAGGGCGCUCCGGCGCCCGACCUCCCAACCCUUUGAUUUGAUCAAGACCUCUUUAUGCCUCGGGGGCGACCCGGCCGUCGCCGGCUCGCGGUCCCCCCGGCGGCGCCCUCAAACUCUGCAUCAAUUGUCGUCGGAUGAUAAAGUUAAUAAAUCAAAACUUUCAACAACGGAUCUCUUGGUUCUGGCAUCGAUGAAGAACGCAGCGAAAUGCGAUAAGUAAUGUGAAUUGCAGAAUUCAGUGAAUCAUCGAAUCUUUGAACGCACAUUGCGCCCUUUGGCAUUCCGAAGGGCAUGCCUGUUCGAGCGUCAUUACACCAAUCAAGCCUGGCUUGGUAUUGGGCGACGGGGCCGCCUCGCCGGCCCCGCGCCUUAAUGAUCUCCGGCGGGACGGACCGAAUCUCAGCGUUGUGAUUUAUCAAGUCGCUGGCGAGACGGGACGCCCGUGCCGUUAAACACCCCCUUUCUCAAGGUUGACCUCGGAUCAGGUAGGGAUACCCGCUGAACUUAAGCAUAUCAAUAAGGCGGAGGAA
rnacentral:rRNA from 1 species